GACGAACGCUGGCGGCGCGCUUAACACAUGCAAGUCGAACGGAAAGGCCUGCUUUCCCUUGUGGAUUGCGGGUACUCGAGUGGCGAACGGGUGAGUAACACGUGAGUGAUCUGCCCCCAACUUGGGUAUAAGCCUGGGAAACUGGGUCUAAUUCCCGAUAGGACUGCAGGGUGGUGCCUGUGGUGGAAAACGAUUUUCUAGUGGUUGGGGAUGAGCUCGCGGCCUAUCAGCUUGUUGGUGGGGUAAUGGCCUACCAAGGCGGCGACGGGUAGCCGGCCUGAGAGGGUGGACGGCCACAUUGGGACUGAGAUACGGCCCAGACUCCUACGGGAGGAAGCAGUGGGGAAUAUUGCACAAUGGGCGGAAGCCUGAUGCAGCGACGCCGCGUGGGGGAUGACGGCCUUCGGGUUGUAAACUCCUUUCGACCGCGAGGAAGCCACCUGGUUGGAAGGGUGGUGACGGUAGUGGUAGAAGAAGCACCGGCUAACUACGUG
rnacentral:rRNA from 1 species